rnacentral:rRNA from 1 species
GACGAACGCUGGCGGCGUGCUUAACACAUGCAAGUCGAACGGAAAGGCCCUGCUUUUGUGGGGUGCUCGAGUGGCGAACGGGUGAGUAGCACGUGAGUAACCUGCCCUUGACUUUGGGAUAACUUCAGGAAACUGGGGCUAAUACCGGAUAGGAGCUCCUGCUGCAUGGUGGGGGUUGGAAAGUUUCGGCGGUUGGGGAUGGACUCGCGGCUUAUCAGCUUGUUGGUGGGGUAGUGGCUUACCAAGGCUUUGACGGGUAGCCGGCCUGAGAGGGUGACCGGCCACAUUGGGACUGAGAUACGGCCCAGACUCCUACGGGAGGCAGCAGUGGGGAAUAUUGCACAAUGGGCGGAAGCCUGAUGCAGCGACGCCGCGUGCGGGAUGACGGCCUUCGGGUUGUAAACCGCUUUCGCCUGUGACGAAGCGUGAGUGACGGUAAUGGGUAAAGAAGCACCGGCUAACUACGUGCCAGCAGCCGCGGUGAUACGUAGGGUGCGAGCGUUGUCCGGAUUUAUUGGGCGUAAAGGGCUCGUAGGUGGUUGAUCGCGUCGGAAGUGUAAUCUUGGGGCUUAACCCUGAGCGUGCUUUCGAUACGGGUUGACUUGAGGAAGGUAGGGGAGAAUGGAAUUCCUGGUGGAGCGGUGGAAUGCGCAGAUAUCAGGAGGAACACCAGUGGCGAAGGCGGUUCUCUGGGCCUUUCCUGACGCUGAGGAGCGAAAGCGUGGGGAGCGAACAGGCUUAGAUACCCUGGUAGUCCACGCUGUAAACGGAGGGUACUAGGUGUGGGGUCCAUUCCACGGGUUCCGUGCCGUGGCUAACGCUUUAAGUACCCCGCCUGGGGAGUACGGCCGCAAGGCUAAAACUCAAAGGAAUUGACGGGGCCCCGCACAAGCGGCGGAGCAUGCGGAUUAAUUCGAUGCAACGCGUAGAACCUUACCUGGGUUUGACAUGGAUCGGGAGCGCUCAGAGAUGGGUGUGCCUCUUUUGGGGUCGGUUCACAGGUGGUGCAUGGCUGUCGUCAGCUCGUGUCGCGAGAUGUUGGGUUAAGUCCCGCAACGAGCGCAACCCUUGUUCACUGUUGCCAGCACGUUAUGGUGGGGACUCAGUGGAGACCGCCGGGGUCAACUCGGAGGAAGGUGGGGAUGACGUCAAGUCAUCAUGCCCCUUAUGUCCAGGGCUUCACGCAUGCUACAAUGGCUGGUACAGAGAGUGGCGAGCCUGUGAGGGUGAGCGAAUCUCGGAAAGCCGGUCUCAGUUCGGAUUGGGGUCUGCAACUCGACCUCAUGAAGUCGGAGUCGCUAGUAAUCGCAGAUCAGCAACGCUGCGGUGAAUACGUUCCCGGGGCU